CCGCGGGAAUUCGAUUAGUUUGAUCCUGGCUCAGGAUGAACGCUGGCGGUAUGCUUAACACAUGCAAGUCGAACGGAAUCCUUAGGGAUUUAGUGGCGGACGGGUGAGUAACGCGUGGGAAUCUGCCUUCAGGUCUGGGACAACCACUGGAAACGGUGGCUAAAACCGGAUGUGCAGCAAUGUGAAAUAUUUAUAGCCUGGAGAUGAGCUCGCGUCUGAUUAGCUAGUAGGUGUGGUAAGAGCGCACCUAGGCGACGAUCAGUAGCUGGUCUGAGAGGAUGAUCAGCCACACUGGGACUGAGACACGGCCCAGACUCCUACGGGAGGCAGCAGUGGGGAAUUUUCCGCAAUGGGCGAAAGCCUGACGGAGCAAUACCGCGUGAGGGAGGAAGGCUCUUGGGUUGUAAACCUCUUUUCUCAGGGAAGAACACAAUGACGGUACCUGAGGAAUAAGCAUCGGCUAACUCCGUGCCAGCAGCCGCGGUAAUACGGAGGAUGCAAGCGUUAUCCGGAAUGAUUGGGCGUAAAGCGUCCGCAGGUGGCUAUGUAAGUCUGCUGUUAAAUAGUGAGGCUCAACCUCAUAAAGGCAGUGGAAACUACAUGGCUAGAGUGCGUUCGGGGCAGAGGGAAUUCCUGGUGUAGCGGUGAAGUGCGUAGAGAUCAGGAAGAACACCGGUGGCGAAAGCGCUCUGCUAGGCCGCAACUGACACUGAGGGACGAAAGCUAGGGGAGCGAAUGGGAUUAGAUACCCCAGUAGUCCUAGCCGUAAACGAUGG
rnacentral:rRNA from 1 species